rnacentral:rRNA from 1 species
AUUGAACGCUGGCGGCAGGCCUAACACAUGCAAGUCGAGCGGAGCGGCGGACGGGGGAGUACUACCUAGGAAUCUGCCUGGUAGUGGGGGCUACCGUCCGGAAACGGGCACUAAUACCGCAUACUAUCAGAUGAGCCUAGGUCGGAUUAGCUAGUUGGUGGGGUAACGGCCUACCAAGGCAACGAUCCGUAACUGGUCUGGGAGGAUGAUCAGUCACACUGGAACUGAGACACGGGCCAGACUCCUACGGGAGGCAGCAGGGGGGAAUAUUGGACAAUGGGCGAAAGCCUGAUCCAGCAAUGCCGCGUGUGUGAAGAAGGUCUUCGGAUUGUAAAGCACUUUAAGUUGGGAGGCGGUACCUACAGAAUAAGCACCGGCUAACUUCGUGCCAGCAGCCGCGGUAAUUC